GAUGAAGAACGCAGCGAAAUGCGAUAAGUAAUGUGAAUUGCAGAAUUCAGUGAAUCAUCGAAUCUUUGAACGCACCUUGCGCCCUUUGGCCAUUCCGAAGGGCAUGCCUGUUUGAGUAUCAUGAACACCUCAACUCUUCAUGGUUUUCCAUGAUGAGCUUGGACUUUGGGGGUCUUGCUGGCCUGUGGGUCGGCUCCUCUCAAAUGAAUCAGCUUGCCGGUUUUUGGUGGGCAUCACAGGUGUGAUAACUAUCUACGCUUGUGGUUUUCCACCAGGGUAACCUUCAGCAGUGGAGGUUCACUGGAGCUUACAAAUGUCUCUCCUCUGUGAGGACAGCCCUUUGAAUGUUUGAUCUCAAAUCAGGUAGGACUACCCGCUGAACUUAAGCAUAUCAAUAAGCGGGA
rnacentral:misc_RNA from 1 species